UACGAAGGGGGCUAGCGUUGCUCGGAUUGACUGGGCGUAAAGGGCGCGUAGGCGGUUCGUACAGUCAGACGUGAAAUUCCUGGGCUCAACCUGGGGGCUGCGUUUGAUACGUGCGGACUUGAGUGCGGAAGAGGGUCGUGGAAUUCCCAGUGUAGAGGUGAAAUUCGUAGAUAUUGGGAAGAACACCGGUGGCGAAGACGGGUUGCUGGGCCGACACUGACGCUGAUAGCGCGAAAGCCAGGGGAGCAAACGGG
rnacentral:rRNA from 1 species